GUUUAAGUAGUUUAUGAAAAAUAUAGAUCAGUGGAAUCUAAGUUAUGAGUACAAACACAUUUUAAACA
rnacentral:tRNA from 1 species